rnacentral:lncRNA from 1 species
GGGCUGUGAUGACAAAUGGGCUAAAGCCCAAUAACUGUUUUAACAAUUUAGGCUCUUGCCCAAUAACAUGACCCGAUCCGCCCCGGCCCAAUGGUAGAUAAAACGUGUUUUUGGGCGUGGCAUAUUUUAAUGCAGCCAAACACGCCUUAUUCAGUUAUAUGGAUGCCUCCUGACCGUCGGAUUGAAACUUGAUCUAAGGGUGCCUUUGUUGGAUAUAAAUACUUGGCCCCUUUUGCCCUAAUUCACUUGGACCGUCAUUUUUCUCUUCUCUCCAGCUGCGGCUGAGGUUCGAGAGUCUUCCAAACCCUCUCUUCUUCUUCGUGAG